AGAACGAACGCUGGCGGCAUGCCUAACACAUGCAAGUCGAACGAGACCUUCGGGUCUAGUGGCGCACGGGUGCGUAACGCGUGGGAACCUGCCUUUAGGUUCGGAAUAACUUCCCGAAAGGGAUGCUAAUACCGGAUAAUGUCUUCGGACCAAAGAUUUAUCGCCUUUAGAUGGGCCCGCGUAGGAUUAGCUUGUUGGUGGGGUAAUGGCCUACCAAGGCGACGAUCCUUAGCUGGUCUGAGAGGAUGAUCAGCCACACUGGGACUGAGACACGGCCCAGACUCCUACGGGAGGCAGCAGUGGGGAAUAUUGGACAAUGGGCGAAAGCCUGAUCCAGCAAUGCCGCGUGAGUGAUGAAGGCCUUAGGGUUGUAAAGCUCUUUACCAGGAUGAAUAAUGACAGUACCUGGAGAAUAAGCUCCGGCUAACUCCGUGCCAGCAGCCGC
rnacentral:rRNA from 1 species